rnacentral:rRNA from 1 species
UACGUAGGGGGCAAGCGUUGUCCGGAAUCAUUGGGCGUAAAGAGCGUGUAGGCGGCUUGGCAAGUCUGACGUGAAAUCCUGCGGCUUAACCGCAGACGGUCGUUGGAAACUGCCUCGCUAGAGUCCGGAAGAGGAGAGCGGAAUUCCUGGUGUAGCGGUGGAAUGCGCAGAUAUCAGGAGGAACACCCGUGGCGAAGGCGGCUCUCGUGGGACGGUACUGGACGCUGAG